rnacentral:rRNA from 1 species
AACGAACGCUGGCGGCAGGCUUAACACAUGCAAGUCGGGCGCCCCGCAAGGGGAGCGGCAGACGGGUGAGUAACGCGUGGGAACGUACCUUUUGGUUCGGAACAACUCCGGGAAACUGGAGCUAAUACCGGAUAAGCCCUAACGGGGAAAGAUUUAUCGCCGAAAGAUCGGCCCGCGUCUGAUUAGCUAGUUGGUGAGGUAACGGCUCACCAAGGCGACGAUCAGUAGCUGGUCUGAGAGGAUGAUCAGCCACACUGGGACUGAGACACGGCCCAGACUCCUACGGGAGGCAGCAGUGGGGAAUAUUGGACAAUGGGCGCAAGCCUGAUCCAGCCAUGCCGCGUGAGUGAUGAAGGCCUUAGGGUUGUAAAGCUCUUUUGUCCGGGAAGAUAAUGACUGUACCGGAAGAAUAAGCCCCGGCUAACUUCGUG